AUGGUCAGUGCAAGACCCUUAUCAGACCUCAAUGAGAGUCCAGCACGAGCACAACUAGAAACGAAUCCUCUUGAGUUAUUCGAUUGCCGAGAGCUCAAUAAAUUGACGGAGUACACCGAAAUAAGAUUUGCUGAAGAAUCUUUUCGGAUUUUUUGGUACUAUGCAAGUAUCCAAAUGCCAUUUGGACAUUCAGCCACCUGGAUCCGAAUGACACCUGUAGCCAGCCUUCAUGCUUACCGAACUCUAUGCCUACAGGGUUCACAGAAAUGGAUCUUUUUGUACGUGCCGUGGACCCCGUGAAAAGGGAUCUCUGAGUUUCUAGUGCCAUCAUCAUCCCCCAGCUCUUCCUCUCAUUCUCUGCAUCUCUUCAGCCAUAAUUUUAAUUGCUCCACCUGUACAUUAGUCUUCACUGGGAUUUCAGGAGCAUAAGCAGCCAUCAUCACUCAUCUCAUUACGACAACGCUGUUUGACGAUGGCACAGCUUUUGUAUGCCACUGUGGUUUUGGCCGGAGUCUGCCUGCUUCUGAGGCUCUGCGUUGGAGGUAAGGGUUCUUUCCUUCACACCUGUGUCUUUGCCUGUGUCGUACUUUUACAGUAGCUUUAGCUUAUAUUUAUAGUCUUUACAUAAAGUUUAUGAGUUUGCCUAGCCUAUUUGUGAUUUCUCUAUGCAAACUCUGUUCUGAGAGCUCAGCUCACAAGCAUUUCAAUAUUUAAUUCUGAAUGCGGAGUUCAAGUGAACACUGAAUGCACACAGACUAUAUUCAUACUGAAAGCUUAGAUAUUUAAAGAUGUUUAAUUGAAGAAAUCAAGAAAUAUAUUAUUACUGUUGUGUAGUAACAUAACAGUAAUCUAAAUUAUUACACAGUAUCACACAGAAUGGCUGUGACUCAAACAGUCUUGUGCCAAAGGUAAUUUAAUUCCACAGAUAGAACUUCAACAAAAAAAUAAGAAUGUAGUGUUUUAUUUUAUGCUGUGAAGCUCUGUAUUGAAGCAAUUUGUAAAAGUUUCUUAAUUAAUUGUUAUAUUUUCAUUUGAACUCAGUGAGGUACAGAUGGGAGGGGUGGGCGUUAUAUACUGGUAUGAAAGUGUCUACCAGUAUUAUGUUGUUCCAUGAUAUGGAUUUUGGUAUACUGUGGAUACCGUUAUAUAUGUUUAUGAAUUCAAAUUUUGCAUUUAUAUUGUUUUGUUCAAUUUGGUACGCUUUGCAAAUUUGAACACAAAUGACGAUAAAGAGUCGAUGCUGAACGUUUUUGUCCUCUGUGUGCAAUGCUGUACAACACAGGCAUUAGUAAUCAAACACAUAGAGCAUCGUAACAGACCAAAUUAAUAGAGCGCAAUUCGCUUACUCCUGUGGUCCAGCGAGAUAUUCGCCUCAAUCAAGUCUUCCACGCAAGUUCAAAAAUUUCAGUUAGAGCGGAAAAUUCACCUGACGCGCUCUCGCGCUAGCCAAUCAGUGAAGACCUUAUUGGCACAUCUGGUUGAAUCAGAAAAUGGAGAAGCGCGUUAUUGUAGCUGUUUGCGGGCACCCCUAAAAUCUAUGAUACAACUUCACUGAGUUGUGUGCGCCUCUGUAUGGUGCUGUGAACCCAGACACGUCUGUGUUUGGCUUUCCUGCGUUUUGAUUUAUCCUCACCAUGGUUGUACUCACAGGAUGUUUUUCGCCUAAUCAAAUAAAAACAUAGCACGUGUGACGCAAAAAACGAUCAUGUGACACUGAAGACUGGAGUAAUGAUGCUGAAAAUUCAGCUUUGAUCACAGGAAUGCAGUAGCCUAUAUGUUAAAAUCUUUAAAUAGAUAAUUUAAAUUGACAAUAUUUCACAAUAUUACAGUGUUUACUGUAUUCUUAAUGAAUAAAUUUAGCCUUGGUGAGCAUAAGAGACUUUCCAAAAAAAAGAAGGGGGGUAGGGGUCCUUGAAAAUGUUUUUUUCUACAAAAAGGGGGCCUGGCAGAAAAAGUUUGGGAACCACUGGCCAACUCAAACACACAAUAUUUAAUUUAAUUUAAUUUAAUUCAUACAGGCCUACCUCAUGUUGCACGUUUGCACUUUUUGAGAAAACAAUGGCACAAUAAAAAAAAUACUUUUCAGGUCUAUGUCCAAUCCCUCACCUUUUCUAGUUAUAUAAGGUUAAAAUAUUUUGCCCAUCCAUAUUUUUUUUUUUUUCUCAUAUAGCAAUAUAAUAUCGAUGUCACCCAGGACAGUGUAAAAUAUUGUGAUGGGUGUUUUUGUGAUUUAAAGUUUAGGUAAUAAGGUACAAGUUUAAAGCUGAGACACUCUGGUAGUUUCGAGUUUCGCAUUCUCUUGCAUCUGUUUGUUUUUUUGGGGGGGCUUUGAUGUGAUUGCAGUACAGCAGGGCAGGAAUCAUAUGUGUCCGUCUGAAUGUUUACCAUAUGCUUAAAAACCGAUGUUUACUGAUGUCAAAGAAAACUGAUACCUUUGUUUGAUAAAA
rnacentral:lncRNA from 1 species